rnacentral:rRNA from 1 species
GAUGAACGCUGGCGGCGUGCUUAACACAUGCAAGUCGAACGAUGAAGCCCAGCUUGCUGGGUGGAUUAGUGGCGAACGGGUGAGUAACACGUGAGUAACCUGCCCUUGACUCUGGGAUAAGCCUGGGAAACUGGGUCUAAUACUGGAUAUGACUUCUCAUCGCAUGGUGGGGGGUGGAAAGAUUUAUUGGUCUUGGAUGGACUCGCGGCCUAUCAGCUUGUUGGUGAGGUAAUGGCUCACCAAGGCGACGACGGGUAGCCGGCCUGAGAGGGUGACCGGCCACACUGGGACUGAGACACGGCCCAGACUCCUACGGGAGGCAGCAGUGGGGAAUAUUGCACAAUGGGCGCAAGCCUGAUGCAGCGACGCCGCGUGAGGGAUGACGGCCUUCGGGUUGUAAACCUCUUUCAGUAGGGAAGAAGCGAGAGUGACGGUACCUGCAGAAAAAGCGCCGGCUAACUACGUG